rnacentral:rRNA from 1 species
UACGGGGGGUGCAAGCGUUGUUCGGAAUCAUUGGGCGUAAAGAGCGUGUAGGCGGUUGGACAAGUCAGAUGUGAAAGCCCUGGGCUUAACUCAGGAAGUGCAUUUGAAACUGUUCAGCUGGAGUAAGGGAGAGGAAAGUGGAAUUCCUGGUGUAGAGGUGAAAUUCGUAGAUAUCAGGAGGAACACCGGUGGCGAAGGCGACUUUCUGGCCCUAUACUGACGCUGAGGCGAGAAAGCGGGGGUAGCAAACAGGAUUCGAUACCCGCGUAGUCC